AGCUUGAGGCGGGAGCCGGCGCAAAGUUGUGGUGGCAGGAAUGUUUCUGUAAAGGCAAUGGAAAUGUACUGGCACACAGUGGAGCAGUUCUUUCUCAGGCUGGUAACAUUACAGAACUCCUGUUGAAAAGCAAGCUGGACGGGUAGAAACCGGAUUCCCAUAUCCUCUCAUAAGCUGUUUGUCAAGGUGAGAUCAUGCCAUGCUCACAUUUUCACAUUCUACAUUUUGAUGUAACAAUUUAUCAGAAGCAUUACCAUAUCAUGACAGGUAAUGAGUUAACUUAUCCAGAAUAAGAAAAAUUGGUAUGGUCUGUAAGAUAGUAAUGAGGCUAAAUGUGGCCUGUUUUGGCUUUUGCCGUCUCUUGGGGUAACUACUUCCCAACCCGACCACA